rnacentral:rRNA from 1 species
CCUACGGGUGGCAGCAGUGAGGAAUAUUGGUCAAUGGCCGCAAGGCUGAACCAGCCAAGUCGCGUGAAGGAAGAAGGAUCUAUGGUUUGUAAACUUCUUUUAUAGGGGAGUAAAGGCAUAUACGUGUGGAUAUUUGCAUGUAACCUACGAAUAAGCAUCGGCUAACUCCGUGCCAGCAGCCGCGGUAAUACGGAGGAUGCGAGCGUUAUCCGGAUUUAUUGGGUUUAAAGGGUGCGUAGGUUGUGUGUUAAGUCAGAGGGGAAAGUUUGUGGCUCAACUAUAGAAUUGCCGUUGAAACUGGACGGCUUGAGUGUGUUUGCGGUAGGCGGAAUGCGUGGUGUAGCGGUGAAAUGCAUAGAGAUCACGCAGAACGCCGAUUGCGAAGGCAGCUUACCAAGCCAUAUCUGACACUGAGGCACGAAAGCGUGGGGAGCAAACAGGAUUAGAUACCCGAGUAGUC